rnacentral:sRNA from 1 species
GUAUAGCCCUGACAGAAGUGACAUCCUUUUUUGCAUUUUAACAUCUCCUUUUAAUAACAAAAAAGAUAGAACGAAUGGCAGGAAAAUAG